rnacentral:rRNA from 1 species
GAACGCUGGCGGCAUGCCUAACACAUGCAAGUCGAACGAGACCUUCGGGUCUAGUGGCGCAUGGGUGCGUAACGCGUGGGAACCUGCCCUUAGGUUCGGAAUAACUCCCCGAAAGGGGUGCUAAUACCGGAUAAUGUCUUCGGACCAAAGAUUUAUCGCCUUUGGAUGGGCCCGCGUUGGAUUAGCUAGUUGGUAGGGUAAAAGCCUACCAAGGCGACGAUCCAUAGCUGGUCUGAGAGGAUGAUCAGCCACACUGGGACUGAGACACGGCCCAGACUCCUACGGGAGGCAGCAGUGGGGAAUAUUGGACAAUGGGCGAAAGCCUGAUCCAGCAAUGCCGCGUGAGUGAUGAAGGCCUUAGGGUUGUAAAGCUCUUUUACCCGGGAUGAUAAUGACAGUACCGGGAGAAUAAGCUCCGGCUAACUCCGUG